GCCUGGCUCCACUCCACAUUAUGGCGGCAGGACCAGAAAAAAAGGAGGAAAAAACGCCCGAAGCUCGGGCUGCGGCAGUGUGGAGACCUGCCGUAAGGCAGUGCGUUCCAAGCGAACGGCUGCGAGCAUCCCAGCGCGGAGGCGGGGGAUGCAGAGCGGAAAACAUAUGGC
rnacentral:ncRNA from 1 species